AGAAGUGUCACCUAUAUAACCUUCUGGAGUUAAAAAGAGUUUCGAUCUUCGAAUCAGGCAGAUGUGGGACAUCGAAGCAGUCAAAAUCAUAUGAGGUGAAGCUGGGAUCAAACUCUUUGGCAUGUGGCAAAGCACAAGAAAAGAAACAUUCCAUCCAAACAGAAUGUGGGCAGAACUUACGAACUCCAAAUCAUGCAUAUGGAGGAAGCUUUUAUUCAGAUACUGAUCACUUGUUGCUGCAUUGUCAAUAACUGAAGGGAUUGUGAUCUUUGUGUUGUGUGUGCUUCCAAGAAUGACGGGGAAGAUGCAGAUCUAUGAUUUUUUUUCUUUUGUUUCCAUCGCAACAGCUACUAAGAUGUUGAGAUGAAAACAUAACCACACCAUUUUCAACCAGGAGAGUUCAUUGAAUUGGCUAGUCUCAAGUUCCUCACCCUAAUCAAAUAGGUGCAGCCACUUGAUAAAUA